rnacentral:tRNA from 1 species
GCGAAAGUGGCGGAAUUGGCAGACGCGCUGGACUUAGAAUCCAGUGGGAUCACUCCUGUAGGGGUUCGAGUCCCCUCUUUCGCACCA